rnacentral:rRNA from 1 species
UUAUGGUGAUCUCGCAGACGAAAUGUCUGAUUCCGAGGAUGAGGACGACGGAGAUACUUUGGAGGAAUACUUGCAGCGCUGGGGCGGUGAAGAUUCAACGGAAGAAGUUGAGGAGUCAGCGCUGUCAU